AUGAGGCUCUGUUGUGUAAAGUGGAUGAGAUGGAGAGAGCAAAGAUCUCUGCCCAGGAGAAGCUGAGCUUGUGUGAAAGAACAAAGAGCGAGCUCUGUGCAGAGAAAGCCCACCUGGAGCAGCUGCUGAAGAAAGCAGAGGAGCAACAAGAGGAGCUGCGGGUAGAGCUGGGGGUCCUGGCAGAGGAGAAGGAAGAAGCCCAAGAGAAACUCCUUGAGGUUUCCCGCCAGCAAGAGUCGUCUCGCAGUGGCCUGGAGCAGUUGCGCCAGGAGUCCUCUCGCCAAGGGCACGCACUGGCCGAGGUGUGCGCAGAGAAGGAGUUGCUGGUGCGGGAGAAGGCUGCCCUGGAGGUGCGACUGGCAGCCCUGGAGCGGGAGAGACAAGGCCUUUCGGAGCAGCUGGCAGAGGCCAGGUCAGGGAAGGAGACCCUGGAAUGCAGCCUGUUGGAGGCUCAGCAGCACUUGUCUGAGCUGGAGAUCAGCAGGAGUCAUCUCGAAACCCAGCUCCACGCGGUGGCGCAGGCCAAGGAGGUGAUCCAAGGUGAGAGCCUCCCGUUUCUGGUGACGCCGUGCCUGGGGAAGGUGGUAUGAAAGCAGCUCUCUGUCCGCAGUGCUUCUGAGGAGUGAAGGAGCUGGAGACAGACCCCUCCUCCACGGAAGCUCAAAGGGCGUAAGGUCAGUAAAGUCAGAGCCGCUGUUUGUGCAGACUCUGACUCUUGCCAUUUGUCGUGUUUGCAGGGGAAGUGAAGUGCCUUCAGUGGGAGCUGGAAGCGGAGAGGUCUCUCCUGAAGCGGGAACGGCAAAACAUGGUGCAAGAGCUCCUGCAGAAAGAACAGCAGCAUACCGACACCCUCAAAGUUCGGGAGGCCGACCACCAAGGGGAGAUAAACAAGCUCCUGCAAGACGUGGCGACUGCAGAAGGGCAGCGGCUGUCCUGGCUCUCGGAGAAGAGACUCCUGUCGCAGCGGCUGGAACGUCUGCAGCGAGCAGUUGCAAGGCUGGACCAGGAGAAGACGGAGCUGAAGCAAUACAAUGCCGAGCUCAGGAGGACUCUGGAGGAGGUGGAACGUGAACGGAGGAGGCUGAGGAGAUGUUGCAGAGGUCGGGCGCUGCCAGAUGCAGGCGGAUCUUCUCUCUCCGAGUCUGACCAGCACAAGAUGCUGGCGUCUCAGCAGGUGUCCCUUCUGCAGACGCAGCUGGCGCAAGACGGAAAAUAGAAGCGGGACUGGAUUGAGUGCUGUGCAAAGACCGGCCAGGAACUUCAAGACCUUGAAGGCCAAAGCUGCUGCUCCGGUGGCAGAGACUCGGGAGCUGCGCUGAACCUCGUCCUGCUGCGGAGCAGCUGCAGCAUCGCGGGGUUCCCGUCUUGGGCCCUUCCCUGGACUGUGUUUGUUUUCCUGCGGGCAGGGGGGGGUGCAUUUGUUCUGUUGAGAUUUUGCAGCAUGUGCUAGUGAUAGUGGGGGUUUAUGUUUUUGUACUAAAAGCCGUUUUGUACUAUUUCUGAAGGGAAAAGGGAGAGGGGUUUUUAUGUUUUUGUAAUAAAAGCCAUUUUGUACUGUUUCUGAAGGAAAAGGAGAGUGCUUGGUACAUUCAUGGGUCAGGAAAAUGUUAGAGUAGGGAUGCCAAAAGAAUAUGGUUAAAAAGUUACAGGAGCGCUUUGUAUAGAAUUGUAGUAGAACUUUGAUGGAACUUGAGCUGAACUCCUGAAAUUAAACCUUAAUUGGCCUAAUUAGGGGGAUCUCCCAAACCGUUCCAAACUUGGACUUGAAUGCAUGUGUCUGAUGAGGGCUGGUAAGGGAACUGUAGCUCACUCAUGGGCUGUAUCUCAUCACUGUGAACCUGGGACUGUCGGAAACGCAUGGUGUGCUGGCUGUUGUGAAACGCCCGGCCCCCGA